rnacentral:lncRNA from 1 species
AUUUUUUUUCACCCCACACCAUUAACUCCUCAAGAGUCUCAGAGAGGAACACCCUCAGCUGAAAAACAUCCUAAGCUCUAAUGCUUCUAGAUACAUAUCCUGUGCAGGAGCCUUGCUACUGAUCCUUAUAUUGCUGUUUCUCACCUCUGUCCUGGAUGGGCUUGGAGCCAGAAACCUUACAUUUUUGGAGAGGAUCCUUUGCUCCUGGCCCAUCCCUGCUUGUGGUGCUCCUCUGCUUCUGCUGCUAUCUGUAGUAUUCCUUCCCAGAAUGAAACGCCCAGUUGAAGCUGAUGCUGCUGACAGUGGAAACCUUUUCUGGUCCUGUAUGUCUUAUGCUUUUCCAGUCCUGAGGGGAAAGGUAUUUUAUACUGGUGGUGUGAAAAUGAUACAAGUUCCUGACAAAACUGUAU